GUGCUUGUUUCAGCAGCACAUAUGUCGAAACUGGAACAAUACAGAGAUCAGCAUGGUCCUGGCGCAAGAAUGACACGUUCCACAUUUUU
ensembl:snRNA U6 U6 spliceosomal RNA